rnacentral:rRNA from 1 species
AGCAGCCGCGGUAAUUCCAGCUCCAAUAGCGUAUAUUAAAGUUGUUGCAGUUAAAAAGCUCGUAGUUGAAUUUCGGGGUUAGUAGAUUGGUCAUGCCUCUGGUAUGUACUGGUCUCACUGAUUCCUCCUUCCUGAUGAUCCGUAAUGCCAUUAAUUUGGUGUUUUGGGGAAUUUGGACUGUUACUUUGAAAAAAUUAGAGUGUUUAAAGCAAGCUAACGCUUGAAUACAUUAGCAUGGAAUAAUGAAAUAGGACGUUCGAUCCUAUUUUGUUGGUUUCUAGGAUUGACGUAAUGAUUAAUAGGGAUAGUUGGGGGCAUUAGUAUUCAAUUGUCAGAGGUGAAAUUCUUGGAUUUAUUGAAGACUAACUACUGCGAAAGCAUUUGCCAAGGAUGUUUUCAUUAAUCAAGAACGAAAGUUAGGGGAUCGAAGACGAUCAGAUACCGUCGUAGUCUUAACCAUAAACUAUGCCGACUAGGGAUCGGAUGAUGUUAAUUUUUUAAUGACUCA